AUUUUUCAUGGUCUCUUUCGCUCUCCUCCGAAUCGCAUCACAAUCGGCUCUCUGUUGCUUCAUCCUGUUUCAUUUUCUUACAGAUGAAUUCCAUUGCACGGUUUUAUUCUUCCGAUCGAAAAAGGCUUGCAUAGAGGGGAUUUCAUCUGAAUCUAGCAAAAUCGCACCGAUGGCUAUAGAACAAUGUACGUGUUUCAGUCUUCUGUUCAAAAGGGGCUUAGAUGGAUGGGAUUGCGUCUCAAUCAGCGAAACCAGAGUGAUUGCUAUUGAACAUUGUGUGGGUAUAAUCUUUAGUUGGAGCACUGCAAGAAAUCAUCAGGGGGUUUUUCUCACAGAACAAAACACAGAGCCACUACAUUAUCGGAAUGUAUAUUUAGACCAAAGUGGCAUAAUUACGUCAAGCAAAUGCCAAAACAAUCUCAAGAUUAAGAGUCUCAUAUCUUCGCUUUAUUCGAUGCUUCAACCAGCUGAUUCAUCCAACAACACUGUUCCAAAUGCUUCAGCAAUUUCAUGAUGCCCAUUUUGCCCUUGCCCGUGUUAGCACAGCCCUCAUCAAUUCUAGAUUGUCUCUUGCCUUCCAAGCAUACGUUUGAAUUCUGCUGCGUUAAUUAAGUGAUGGAUAGGAACAAGGACGACAAGAACCUGCCAAUUCAUAAGCUCUACAUCCCUGCUGGAGGGGAUAAGGAGGCACAACAGCUCCUGAUUUAUCCGCCUGGGACACCAAA